rnacentral:rRNA from 1 species
UACAGAGGAUGCAAGCGUUAUCCGGAAUUAUUGGGCGUAAAGAGCUCGUAGGCGGUCUGUUGCGUCCGCUGUGAAAACCCGGGGCUUAACCCCUGGCUUGCAGUGGAUACGGACAGACUAGAGGUAGGUAGGGGAGAAUGGAAUUCCCGGUGUAGCGGUGAAAUGCGCAGAUAUCGGGAGGAACACCGGUGGCGAAGGCGGUUCUCUGGGCCUUACCUGACGCUGAGGAGCGAAAGCGUGGGGAGCGAGCAGG